AGUUAUCGGCGUAGGGUACAGAGGUAAGAUGUUCUAUCUUUCAGACCUUUUACUUCACGUAAUCGGAUUUAGCUGAAUAUUAGCUGCCCCAGUCAUUUCUUUUGACUGGGGCGUUUUUUU
rfam:Xenorhabdus doucetiae str. FRM16 chromosome, complete genome.